UACGUAGGGGUCGAGCGUUGUCCGGAUUUAUUGGGCGUAAAGAGCGUGUAGGCGGCCAGGUAGGUCUGCUGUGAAAACUCGAGGCUCAACCUCGAGACGUCGGCGGAAACCAUCUGGCUAGAGUCCGGGAGAGGAGAGUGGAAUUCCUGGUGUAGCGGUGAAAUGCGCAGAUAUCAGGAAGAACACCCGUGGCGAAAGCGGCUCUCUAGAACGGUACUGACGCUGAGACGCGAAAGCGUGGGGAGCGAACAGG
rnacentral:rRNA from 1 species